CGAAUGAAAAUUGCUUUAUGUUCUGCACAGGGUCUUACUUUCUUGCAUGAGGAAGGACCAUUUCUGGUAGUUCAAAAUAUCUAUGUGCUUCUACAUAUCGAGAUAAUAAAACUGAAUGAGAUCUUGUCAUGUGCCCCUAUGCUUGAACCUUGAUCAUGUGUAAAUGGAGAUGGCAAUUCUCAUAGAAAUAAGUUCUGGCUUGCUUGACGUAGUUGUUUUGGGAAUCUGCUUUUGUUUUCCCAAUUACUGUUCUGGUUUUAUGCAUGCGUAAUAAUGGAACUUGUUCUAUCAUAUGCAGGCAAUGUAUAAUGAAUUUUCAACUGCCAACAUACAGAUUGACAAAGAUUUUAGUGCAAAGCUUUCAGGAUAUGGGUGUGUUGGUCAUAUCCUAGAGGCGGAAGAGAUUGCUGCUAAUUCAUUCGUAAAUCAUCCUACCUCGAAAACACCAUAAAAGUAACUUGUUUGGGUUAUUUGUUGUUUAUUAUAUCUCCAUUGGUGCAGGCUGUGGCGAAUCUGUCAGUAGAGACACUGGAGAGAGGAUGGCUAACUCCAAAGAGCAAUGUUUGGACUUUUGGAAUUGUCCUACUUGAAUUACUUACCGGCCGGAAGAACCUUGACACCCGUCAUCCCAGGGAAGAGUGGAACCUAGUGAAGUGGAGUCGACCAUUCCUAGCUGACGAUUGUAGAUUAUCACUCAUAAUGGAUCCUCAACUCAAAGGUCGUUUUCCUAUGAAAGCUGCACGCACAGUAGCCGGCAUCGC
rnacentral:lncRNA from 1 species